UCCCUCCUUUCUCUACGUAGAAAACCCAGAGACAGACCAAGCACCCAAGCUGCACUUCCCGGGAGCUGCCUCCAGGGGCGCCUGUGCAGAGCGGCCUCUCCUCCCGGCCCGCCCACUGACUGCGCAUCGGCAGACAAACCAUUACUAUCGCCAAAAGUCCCUAUCCACCAGAUGCCGCUGUUAGGGACGAGGCUGACAAGACAAGUGCCUCUGGGAAAAGACACGGGGCUGACAUUCAGAGUAGGACGUAAAGGAUUGAGAGGGAAAGUUUUCCUGAGCUCGAGACCUGUUUGUUUGGGAAUGGAGGCGUUGGGAGGCUGGCCAAGCCCCAGCCCUGGAUCCAGAGGGGUCACAGCCAGAGCCGACCUCUGAGGCCACGUCCUUUCACCUCCUCGCUCCCUGGUCUCUGUGCAGCAAUCGUGGUCCGCCAGGUUCUGGCCAAUGUGUAGCCUCUCCAUGCUGAAAAUGGCCCCUUGAAAAGUGGAGGGGAAGAGACCAGCCCCCAGCAGCGAACCCCAAAUAUACCGGGAGGCGGCCCAGUGUUUCCUUGGUUCGAAUCCUGGGCGCUGACAUGGCACUGCUCAUCAAACCAUGCUGAGGUGGCGUCCCACAUGCUGCAACUAGAAGGACCCACGAUGAAGAAUAUGCAACUAUGUACCGGAGGGGGUAGGGGAGCUUUGGGGAGAAUAAAGGAAAAAAAUAAAAUCUUAAAAAAAAAAAUCACAGGUCUCCUAAGAAAGGGGUUUUCAGAAAUGUUAGAUCAUCAUCUACUGGGGUCCACCCCCUGAGUCUGGGCAGGGCCACAGUGAAAC
rnacentral:lncRNA from 1 species